AUUGAACGCUGGCGGCAUGCCUUACACAUGCAAGUCGAACGGCAGCACGGGUGCUUGCACCUGGUGGCGAGUGGCGAACGGGUGAGUAAUACAUCGGAACGUACCUUAUCGUGGGGGAUAACGCAGCGAAAGUUGCGCUAAUACCGCAUACGCCCUGAGGGGGAAAGCGGGGGACCGUAAGGCCUCGCGCGAUUAGAGCGGCCGAUGUCUGAUUAGCUUGUUGGUGAGGUAAAAGCUCACCAAGGCGAUGAUGAGUAGCUGGUCUGAGAGGACGAUCAGCCACACUGGGACUGAGACACGGCCCAGACUCCUACGGGAGGCAGCAGUGGGGAAUUUUGGACAAUGGGGGCAACCCUGAUCCAGCAAUGCCGCGUGAGUGAAGAAGGCCUUCGGGUUGUAAAGCUCUUUUGUCAGGGAAGAAACAGCAGCUCUAACACAGUCUGCGAAUGACGGUACCUGAAGCAUAAGCACCGGCUAACUACGUGCCAGCAGCCGCAGUAA
rnacentral:rRNA from 1 species